UUGAAGAAAACUUCCCAUACAAUUUGUAUGAAAAUGAAAACUUUUAUUUUUUGCAACUAUAAACUUAUAAAGUUGAUCAGAUAUUCACAAAAUGUAAUUAGAAUAGAGGUCAAUGCAUUUUUGUACAUUUUGUAAUAAAAAUACGUAAUUUAACUAAGCUCCACACUUGAGUACGGGUGCGUUCUAAUAAUGCUGGAGCACUAAAUUAAAAAAUUAAAAUAAAAUAAACACUAAACAAGGUUGUCCGAAUGUGAGAGGAAACUGACAACAGUUUAAAUAAUAGGUAUAUACGGUUCAAGAAAUUAAAAAAAUGUUUAUCUGUACAAUAAAUACGGUAUUUUCGUUUAUAAAUACCAAUUUUCCUCUAUUACCAUAUUUGGACAAAUCACGUCUAACAGCAGCCGAACGCACCCCAACUUUUUUUAAACUUAAAGCAAUGCACCAAUUAUUUAGCGCAAUUUACGCGGUUAUCACACUGAUGCGAAACCGCACACUGCUGCGGUGCGUGAGCGAGACAGCGCUAUGCACGGAUAUAGCGAUGAUCCGCAUCCAACGUGAAUAUAGCUUUAGAUAAAUAUUUAGCAUAAUAUAUAUUUAUAACGAAUGCUUCCUCUGUACUAUAAUAAUUGUUUAUGUCUAGUGCCACUUUAAAGCAAUAAUUAAGGAAACGAAUUUAUGCUAGCUUUUUUUUUAAAGACGGUUAGAGGUUUCUGGGAAACGUGAACCCAAUUGAAUGAUUUCAUAUUAACAAUAUGAAACAUUAUUAUGUUUAUUUACACACAUGAUCGUAACAUGCGGUUCCUGAAUACAUUAUAGAGAGCUUAUAAUAUGUGUGCAGGUAAAACAGUGUAUUGUAUAUGUAACUGUACUUAAUUAGGCAUAAAAGCACUCUGGGUAUUAUGAAAUACCCACACUCAUAUUUUAAUGCCUUUCAUUAUUAAGCAGUUACAUGGAGAUGUGCCCAUCAGUAGUAGAUAAAUAAUAGCUUUUUUUAAUAGUAUUCUUAAGAGUAUUCUUGCAACUGGACUUUUCUUGCAAUAUUUCAAGUGUCACAGAAGUCUCCAACUAUAAAUAAACCUGAUUUCAUAUAUACUGUUGUUAAAAAUGUAUCAUUUCAAUAACUAUAAGGGGUGACUAGUCAAACCCGAUAAGUCGAGUUUUUUUUUUAAAUUCAAAUUAGAACUCCAAGCACGUCACAUAAAGUUCUAAUUCUAAUCGGGUUUGGUCACCCCUCGCAAUAUUCUAAAUGUGUAUAAUGUUGAAAUUGUUUCCAUGUAACUAUGUAACAAAUGUACCUUAUAUAGCGAAUUGAGAUUGUAUUAUAAUAGUAGAAGUAUAGAUAGGUAGACAACCUGACGCGCUUGUGGCUAUUUUCGAUUACUUGUCCAUGACUAUUUCAUAGACAAAAAAAAAAUAAGACGCUUAAAUGGCCUCUACAAUCGUCAUCAAUAAACACAUGCGAUUUGCAAUAUAUCGCGGCAUUUGACCGAUCGAUUGAAUUCGUUGCUCCUACUUAAACCGGCAAUUAUCUAAAAUCGCAUGCCAUUUGUGGCAACUUCUGUAGAAGCCUUAUAUUAGUGUAAAAUAUAUACUCAAACACACCCACUUUGUCAGUAGAAAAAGGUGCGUAAUUCAAAUUUUCUAUGGGAGUGAAGUCAACUCUUCGCAGAACUUAUGGUGGCUAGAAUAGAAGGCAAAAAUAUCAAGUUCUAGCUACUCUAGCUUUUUUAAGUACCCACAGUUUUAUUAUUAUUUUGUAUUUGCUCUUAUUGGACUUUUUUUUUAUACCACGACGGUGGCAAACAAGCAUACGGCCCGCCUGAUGGUAAGCAGUCACCGUAGCCUAUGGACGCCUGCAACACCAGAGAUAUUACAUGCGCGUUGCCGACCCCUUAAAAACCUGUACACUCCUUUUUUAAAGAACCCCAUACUGUAGCCCCUCGGGAAAACCUUACUUUAAACUAGAAAGAAAGAUGGAAAGUACAGAUAUUGUUUUAGAAGGUGUUUAAUGUGAUAAUUAUACUUUGUAAAUAAAUCUUGGAUUUCCAAGUAUUUACUAUAGGAAUUGACGGUUUCCAUUUUGUAUAAUUUCGCGUAGAUUUUUUUCAUGUGGAAAAUAUCACAAUUUUGGAAAGAUUAUUUCUUCUAGCUAUUUUAUGUAACUACUUUUUUAAGCCCGAGUCUGCCUACCAAGUGACAGGCAUAGCCUAGUGUGGGGCCGCAGGAUAUUAUACAAUGUUAAUAAGGUUUUUUCUUUUAAAUAAACAAUUCUUAUAUCUAAAGAUAUCUAACCUUAACGCAAUUUGUAAUAAAAGCUUGCAAUUGAAACAUUUUUAUGAACAGGCAAAAGGAUCUUGCAAACAGGAAAUACCUACUCUAAAACUUAAAACAAGACCACAAACGCGCCAGUUUGGAUACCUCAAAACGUACCUAAUAGCUAAGUUAUUAUAGGGCCGUAGAUUUGUAAUAGCUUUGUAUUAGGGGUUGACUUGCCGUGUAGACAAAUUAGGUGGCAUAUGAUGGACGCUGUUAUCGGCUUGACAAAGCAGAUAUCACUUUUUAAUGACGAGAGAGUGAAAGAGUCACUCUGUAUUUAUCACGCUGUCACGUAGACAACUACGACCAUCAUAGCCGAGGUACUAUAGCAUAUCUUCGCCGCUGGACAUAGGCUGAUAGCAAUGUCAUAUUUCAAGACAGGGAUCGAAAACCGGUAUAUUUUUAAUACAAAUUAACCGGUAUUCAAUUUCGGUAUCUCGGUUGUUUAUGUAUAUUUUUCCAUUUCAUUUAGGUGAUCUAUUGUCGUUACCUAUUUACCAUUCUACAAUAUCAAAGAAAUAUUUCAAAUGCUACGUGCGCAGGUAGCUAAGUGACGUCAGCGACGUCAUAAUGACGUAUAACAUGCUGUUCGAUAUGAUAUUUUGAUUUUAAGUUAUACCGGUAACGAUCCCUGUUUCAAGAUUAUUUUGUUUUAUUUCGGUCUCAAAAUAUAACCGGGCUUACUAUUGUAGUCACAAAAAAAUACGUGCGUGUGAUGUGUAAUCAACAUUUUAUUUAUACUUUUUCUGCUUUUUUAUCGACACCUAGCGAAAGAUAUUCUUGAAAAUUUGACAAAUAACGCUUGUGUACAACCUGGUUUCGUUUAUUAUUUUUAUUACGGUAAACUUUACAUUUUGAUAAAUUUCUUCUUCUACAUCGUUAUUUUCAAACUUAGUUGAAUUCUUUACCUAUUGUAUAAAAUAUUUAAUUUAUUCAUAUUGUAUUUCAGAUACAACACAAAUACAGGUUCGCCUGUGAUUUUUCCCUCAUUGAUUUGUAAUGACAUUUUAUUAUUUAUUUUAAUUUUUUAUCAUGAUGUAAGUAAAUAAAAGUUGCUUUGACA